GCUCUUUCUACUGCGGCUCGGCCUCGGUACCCCGUGCCCGGCAGGGACCCCGAGCCCUGCUCCUCCGCGCCCCACACUCAGGCACACCUCUUCCGGCCAAGUGGUCGUCGGGUAACUCCCAAGUAGAGGCCACCUCCUCUAGGCGGAGACCCUCGGAGCUGGUCCCACGCUAUGGGUGCCCUGGGGCCGAGGGCCUGGAAGGUGGUGCGAGGCCACAGGUUCUGCCCUCCGGGCUCUACUCGCUGCCCCGGUGUGGGACGGGGGUUUGGCUGAGAGCGCAGGUUGUGGUUAACUAGCGAGGGAGUCGGUGCAUCUCGCUUUUGCAGAAGUCACCGCGCUGGAGCACAACGGAAUGCAGAUGUGCAUCCUCCAGCUGUAGCGAGAGAGGGGGUACGUGGUGAGAACCGACGGCCUUUCUGUCUGGAGCCUGUGGCACGCGCGAGCAAUCCCAGCAACUCUGGAGGCAGACGCAGACCCUUCUGCAAGUCAGAGGCCAGCCUGGGCGACCCAGCAAGGACCUGUCCCCAAACAAAAAAGUAAAGACUGGAGAUGAAGAUGGGUGAUAAAGCGCCCCUGGGUUCAAUCUCG